GUCUACAGCCAUGCCACUCUGAACAAGCCCGAUCCCAUCUAUCUUGGAAGCUAAGCAGGGUUGGGCCUGGUUAGUACUUGGAUGGGAGACCACCCAGGAAAAUCAGGUGCCGUAGGCA
rnacentral:rRNA from 1 species